UACGGAGGGUGCUAACGUUGUUCGGAAUCACUGGGCAUAAAGCGCACGUAGGCGGCUUGGUAAGUGCGGUGUGAAAGCCCCCGGCCUAACCGGGGAACCGCAUCGCAGACUGCCAGGCUCGAGAGCGGGAGGGGAGACUGGAACUCCUGGUGGAGCGGUGAAAUGCGUAGAUAUCAGGAGGAACACCGGUGGUGAAAACGAGUCUCUGGUCCGCUUCUGACGCUCAGGUGCGAAAGCUAGGGGAGCAAACGGG
rnacentral:rRNA from 1 species